CCUACGGGGGGCAGCAGUGGGGAAUAUUGGACAAUGGGCGAAAGCCUGAUCCAGCAAUGCCGCGUGAAUGAUGAAGGCCUUCGGGUUGUAAAGUUCUUUCGACGGGGAUGCGGUACCCGUAGAAGAAGCCCCGGCUAACUUCGUGCCAGCAGCCGCGGUAAUACGAAGGGGGCUAGCGUUGUUCGGAAUUACUGGGCGUAAAGCGCACGCAGGCGGCUCGAUAAGUUAGAAGUGAAAGCCCUGGGCUCAACCCGGGAAUUGCUUUUGAUACUGUCGAGCUUGAAUUCGGGAGAGGGUAGUGGAAUUCCCAGUGUAGAGGUGAAAUUCGUAGAUAUUGGGAAGAACACCAGUGGCGAAGGCGACUACCUGGCCGAAUUGACGCUCAUGUGCGAAAGCGUGGGGAGCAAACAGGAUUAGAUACCCUUGUAGUC
rnacentral:rRNA from 1 species